rnacentral:rRNA from 1 species
GAUGAACGCUGGCGGCGUGCCUAAUACAUGCAAGUCGAGCGAACGGACGAGAAGCUUGCUUCUCUGAUGUUAGCGGCGGACGGGUGAGUAACACGUGGAUAACCUACCUAUAAGACUGGGAUAACUUCGGGAAACCGGAGCUAAUACCGGAUGAUAUUUUGAACCGCAUGGUUCAAAAGUGAAAGACGGUCUUGCUGUCACUUAUAGAUGGAUCCGCGCUGCAUUAGCUAGUUGGUAAGGUAACGGCUUACCAAGGCAACGAUGCAUAGCCGACCUGAGAGGGUGAUCGGCCACACUAGAACUGAGACACGGUCCAGACUACUACGGGAGGCAGCAGUAGGGAAUCUUCCGCAAUGGGCGAAAGCCUGACGGAGCAACGCCGCGUGAGUGAUGAAGGUCUUCGGAUCGUAAAACUCUGUUAUUAGGGAAGAACAUAUGUGUAAGUAACUGUGCACAUCUUGACGGUACCUAAUCAGAAAGCCACGGCUAACUACGUG